AUGGAGGCCCCAGCUCCGAAGCCCUGAUCAUGAAUUUCAGGCUGCUCCUCCAUGUUCCGCCACCAGGGUGCCAUUUCCCUGAUGAUGAGCCAAGAGGGACAUGUGAGGAGGAGGGGGCCGGGACCAUCUGCCUUGCCGCCCCACCCCUUCUCUGUGGCCAUACCCAGGGGCUUCUCAAAACGGUCACAGCAGCCUCCCUUAAAGCUGGGCAUGGGGCGUAUGGUGACCUACACCUGCAAGAGCAAGAAGGCCUGGCGGAGAGGUGAAGUCAGUUCUGCCCAUAGCAAGCCAGGAGGUGUUGGGCAACCUGCCUGAGAAGGAGGGGAAGGAGCCAGCAGGGGACGCCUCUGGGAAAACAGGGGCCUCAGACAGCAGCCACUUUAUCCAGAUCCUGCAGUUGAAGGAAGAAUACCUGCAGAGAGCCACAGGGCCCCGUGAGGUCAGCCCUGAGCCCUCCACCAGGGAGAAGGAGUGUCUGCUUGAAGGCCUGGACCACCCCACUUGCUGCCAGCCUGUCAGUGACCACCACCCAUUCACAGGAGACUGCGUGUUGGCCUCUUCCAGGGUGGAGGCAACUCCUUGGAACCACUUCCACAGUUUGGACAAGGAGCUUCAAAACUCGGCCAUGGCCAAGGUUUGCCCAGCGAGGAGAAAAGUGAGGAAGAGAAAAUGAAGGAAGAGGACAGCUCAUUCAAGCUCUGUGUCCCAGGCAUUGUUGCCCUCCAGUCGCCACCGAACAAGGCUUUCAGAUCCACAGACACAGUGGGUUUCCUGGAGUCGGAGUUGAAGAAGCUUCUGGGAAUGCAGCAAGAGUCCCGCCUCUGGAAGCUAGGCAGCCAAGAGGGCCGAGAGCUGCUUACCCGGCCAGAGAUCACCGUGGUGGAGGGAGAAGGUUAUGAGGUGCAGAGAAGACUGAGGCAUCUUCCUUCACCCAUUUCUGUCGCCCAGUGCCUGCUUCUUGAGGAGAAAGGUGAGAUGGGAAACUGGCCUCCAGAGUGA